rnacentral:rRNA from 1 species
UACGUAGGCAGCGAGCGUUGUUCGGAGUUACUGGGCGUAAAGAGUGCGUAGGCGGUUCUCUAAGUUUGGUGUGAAAUCUCCCGGCUUAACCGGGAGGGUGCGCCGAAGACUGGGGAACUGGAGUAUGGGAGAGGUAAGCGGAAUUCCUGGUGUAGCGGUGAAAUGCGUAGAUAUCAGGAGGAACACCAGCGGUGUAGACGGCUUACUGGACCAUAACUGACGCUGAGGCACGAAAGCGUGGGUAGCAAACAGG